rnacentral:rRNA from 1 species
AGCGAACGCUGGCGGCAGGCCUAACACAUGCAAGUCGAACGAAGUCUUCGGACUUAGUGGCGGACGGGUGAGUAACACGUGGGAACGUGCCUUUAGGUUCGGAAUAACUCAGGGAAACUUGUGCUAAUACCGAAUGUGCUCUUCGGGGGAAAGAUUUAUCGCCUUUAGAGCGGCCCGCGUCUGAUUAGCUAGUUGGUGAGGUAAAGGCUAACCAAGGCUACGAUCAGUAGCUGGUCUGAGAGGAUGACCAGCCACAUUGGGACUGAGACACGGCCCAAACUCCUACGGGAGGCAGCAGUGGGGAAUCUUGCGCAAUGGGCGAAAGCCUGACGCAGCCAUGCCGCGUGGAUGAUGAAGGUCUUAGGAUUGUAAAAUCCUUUCGCCGGUGAAGAUAAUGACUGUAGCCGGAGAAGAAGCCCCGGCUAACUUCGUGCCAGCCGCCGCCGUAACAC